ensembl:ncRNA C06C3.14 ncRNA
AUGCCGAAACAGUGUCGAAAAGCGUCUUGCAUAAAGUCUCCGCACGUUCCGGAUGCUCGUGAGCGAUCCGUUUUGCUUGACAAACGAGUUGAUGCAGUUUUUCCGAAAAGUCCGAUUGAAUCUAUUGAUGUUUUGUUGGCUGACAAUCGAGUGACAGUGGUGUGGUGUUGGAUUCCAUUUUUGAACGUUCUGUAA